AUUGAACGCUGGCGGCAUGCUUUACACAUGCAAGUCGAACGGUAACAGGCCGCCAGGUGCUGACGAGUGGCGAACGGGUGAGUAAUGCAUCGGAACGUGCCCAGUCGUGGGGGAUAACUACUCGCAAGAGUAGCUAAUACCGCAUACGAUCUAUGGAUGAAAGCGGGGGACCGUAAGGCCUCGCGCGAUUGGAGCGGCCGAUGUCAGAUUAGGUAGUUGGUGGGGUAAAGGCUCACCAAGCCAACGAUCUGUAGCUGGUCUGAGAGGACGACCAGCCACACUGGGACUGAGACACGGCCCAGACUCCUACGGGAGGCAGCAGUGGGGAAUUUUGGACAAUGGGCGCAAGCCUGAUCCAGCAAUGCCGCGUGCAGGAAGAAGGCCUUCGGGUUGUAAACUGCUUUUGUACGGAACGAAACGGCUCUGGUUAAUACCCGGGGCUAAUGACGGUACCGUAAGAAUAAGCACCGGCUAACUACGUG
rnacentral:rRNA from 1 species